UCACAAUGACCAAGUUGGGUCAUCCACACAUGUAGGAAUUGAUGAGCUGCUGGUGAGGACCUCAGCUGGAAUUCUGCCAUGAUUGAGCUCUCUGUGAAGGCAGACCAUUCUCACAACAUGUUGGCUACAUUCUAAUGGUAGGCAUCCUAAGAAAGAGAGCCAGAUAGAAUCCAGGCCUCUUGUGACUUAAGCCUUAGAACUCAUACAACAGGUCCUGGAGUCAGUGGAAGAGCACUUGCCUACAAUGCACAAGGUCCUGGGUUCAAUUCGACACUACCAACCAACAACAGCAAAAACUAAAGGCUUCUCAGAUAGCUGCAGAAGUACAGAAAAUGCAGAGCAUGGCGAAGCUGAGCUGUAAUUCAGAAGCCAGGUGGAUGCUCUGACAUCUCUGACAUCUGCAGUCUUGCCAGUGAAUAGAAGGAUGUACGCCAUCCUUGGAACAUUAUUUCACAAGUUCAAGAAAGUGCCAGCAUAGAAUCUCUGAAAACCACUAGAAGCUCCUGGGAAGAAAAUUUCGCAGCUGAGAGUCAGGCCUUCAAAAGGGCUGUUUCCCUAGAAAUUUCAAUGGGUGCAGAAAACCACUGUCACUGAUCACUCGGUGUCAGAGUGAACCAAAGGAGUUUUGCUUUCAAAAUGGAAAAGCCUUUGAAAAUGCCUUCUUCAAGCUAUGGUUUCCUUCUUAUGCCCGCAUGAGGAUGAUUCUUGAAAAGGAUGCAGCAGUUAAAGUGUAGGACAAACUCUUUCCUCAAGAAUGGAGUCAAUGUAUCAAUGAUAAGAACCCA
rnacentral:lncRNA from 1 species